CCGUCCCCUACUCUCCAGUCUCCAUUCACCACACCAGCCCCUGAACCCUAGCGGCGAGCCAUGGCCCGGAAGCGCCCCGCGCCUCCGCCGCCGCAUCCGCAGGAGUCCUCCUCCGAGGCGUCCGGUUCCGACGAGGAGGAUGAGGAGCCUCCUCGCGCCCCCGCACCCCAGAAGCCCCCACAAAACUCUCAACCUCCUUCUACCUCCGUCGCGGCCGACGACGACGCUGACUCGUCGGAGGGCGACGCGGAGGCGGGGGAGGACUCCGACUCGGAGACCUACGCGCAGGCCUUCCAGUUGCGUCAGGUGAACCGCUACCCCAGCAAGGCGCUGGCCCUGGUCCGCCAGCUCGAAUCCUACUCCGAUGAGGGGGAGGAAGAGAGCGAGUCGUCGGAGUUGGAGCCCGAGAUCCCGGAGCCGGCUCAGAAGAAGGCGGCGGCCCAGAAGUCGAAGGCUGACCAGGACAAGAAGAGGCCUGCACCGGAGCCCGCUCCAUCCGGCAAGGCCAAGAAGGCCAAGCCUGAGGCGGGGAAGGCGGCGCCUCAGACCACUCCAACUGGCAAGGUGAAGAAGCCCAGGGCCGAGCCGGAGAAGGUGCCGCCUGAGCCCAUUCCGUCUGGCAAGGCGAAGAAGUCCGAGGCCAAGCUGGAGAAGCCAGCGCUCGAUCCCUCGCCUUCCAGCAAGUCUGAGAAGCCUGCGCAGGCUCUGCGCACAUGGACGAUAUAUGAUGAGAAGACGAUCUUAGAGGCCCUUGCCACGCAUGUCAAGAAUGAGGGUGCGUUGCCAAAGACUGAUGUCCUUCUUUCUGCUGUCCGUGACCGCCUCAACAGUAAGAACUGCAGCUAUUCGGAUAUAUAUGAGAAGGUGCGAAGGCUCAGGGAGCGUUACGAGAAAGCAGUGAGCACAGGUGCCCUGCCAACUAAAGAUGAUGAGGUCCAGAUGUAUAAUUUCUCAGAAGCAGUCUGGGGAGAGAAGGCCAAGGAGGCUAUCGCAUCUCAACAUGAUGGCACUGUGACAAAGAGUAAGAAGGGACAGGCUACCAAAGAGAAAAUGGAUGGAAAUUCAAAGGGUGGCACACCAAAGGAGGCCACUACCAGUAUUGCCGGUGAUACUCAGAAAGGGAGUAAGAGGGGGCAGGCCAUCAAAGAGAAAACAGAUGGAGAUGUAAAGAGCAGGGUGUUAAAGGAGGCUACCACUACUGCCAGCCCGAGUAAGAGUAAGAAACAGGGAAACAACAAAGAGGAGGACAAAGAUGCAAAGAGUGGCACGUCGAAGGAGAAAACCACAGCUGCGUCUCAAAAUGGCAGUGCUUUGACAAAGAGCAAGAGGGGGAAGACUGACAAAGAGAAGAUGGACAGAGAUACUGAGAGUCUCAUACCUAAAGAGACCACAACUGCCACUCAGAAUGGUGGCAUUCCAACUAAGAGUAAGGAAGAGGGAACUCACAUAGAGGAAAUAGAAGGAGAUGCUGAUGUGCAAGGCAGGCACAGGGGUUUUGAUGAGUUGCAGAAGUUGUAUUCCAACCUUGCUGCCUAUGUGGAGAGGAUUGAGGCCCAGCAUCCAUGCGGGGAGACUCUGAAGAGAGCAUUUGAGUUCAUUGGUGAUGAGAAGGCACACGCUCUGGAAUCCAAGAUCAAGAAGCAAAGAGUAGCUGAGGUGAAGGUGCAGAUCCGUCGAGCGGACAUAAAGAAGGAGGUUCGAAAUAUGUUGAUGGGCUUGGUGGCCUAAACUUCUGGUGUUAUCAAGCCUUUUAUGUGAUGGCUGGAUGGAAGAUUGAAGCUGCAAAGGAAUGUAGUAUGAAUUUUUAAGGGAUGAGAUUCAGGGUGUUCAACUGGUGGCCAUACUUCUGUAGUUGUCAGCUAUUAUCAUUCCACGUGAAUGAUUUGCCAUUUUCAGUGCAAGUUGUGCUCUGUGAACGAGUUGUCGUGGUUUCUGCCUGGAAGUCUGAAUUGAGCAACCGGUGGGUUUUCAGGGUCGCCAUAGCACUGCUUGCAGGGAGAUUGGUCAGAAGCGUGUGAACUGAGAACAUGCUCUUGUCAUCUCUAGUUUGCAAACAGGAGUCGGCUUGAAUAGAGGUUUGCAAUGCCGUUCUGCAUCGCCAUGUGAUUCAGGUUGAGAUUCUGUCCAUAGCCGUGCUCUGAAAGCACUGAAAAGGUGUUGGACAAGCAGGGGCGAGCCUAUUUCUGGUCUAUCAUCUAUUCACGCCACUCUACUUUGGUCAUCGUAUCGUCGUCGUCAUCUUGUACCGCCCCCAAUGGUAUGGUCUGUCUGUCAUAUUUGUGUCUGUGAGUUAACUUCGUUCUGGAAAAGCUUAUUCUUUGUGCAGUGUGAUGCUAGUUUGUUGACGUGGUGAGAUGGGUUUUUUUUUUUUUUUUUUUUUUUUGCACACUUUGAUCAGAUGCAACUGAAAUAUGAUCGAAAUCGUGAGCCGUCAAUCACAAAGAUCUGAACCAUGUGGCCAUCAUAAGCUGGAUGGUUGUGAUUGAGGGUUCAGAUGGGAUUUAUUGUAAGUGAAUGUAAAUUGGACAGAGAGUAGGGAAUGAAUCGGUUGCUUUUCCAUUGCAUUA